rnacentral:lncRNA from 1 species
AAUGGUAUUUUAGGAAAAAUGUAUUUUUCUAGAAAUAGAGUAAAAAGGAUUUAAGAUGCAGUAUGAGGUUCUUUAUCACGAUCUUUCAACAGAAGAAAACCUGACCUCAGAUAAAUAUGUUUUGGUUGGUUCAGGACUGUUUUACUUCAAACAAGUCUCCCAUAACAAGAAGGUAGUGUUUCACAGCCAGGAAUAGGAAUAGACUGCAGUGAUCAGAUACUCUUAGUGUGCCCAUUGCCAGUAUAGCCGUGUGUCCAAUAAUAACAAAUGCCUGGCAAGUCUCUGAAAGCCUGGUAAGGCUGGUUAUGGUAGGUGUGAAUCCUGAGCACAGCCUCCCAGAGAGGAGAAAGAGCUAUUUUUCAGCUGGCAGGGGAAAGUGUGGUGGCUUCUGUAUCCAUCCUUUUGGAAGGAGUGUUGGGAAGGUGGGAAUUCGGUGGUGUCUUAUGAACUCAUUGGAUGCUGUGUGAACCAUAUUUCCCAUGUGGCCCGAAGCAUUUCUUCCCGCCCUGGCUGCUCUGAGAGCGAGUAUUUUCUUUGGCACAGGUAUGCGCAAGCAGCCCAGGUCCAGCUCUGUGCCCUUCAUGCACGGCAUGCCGGGGAAUUGGAUGCAGAGAUGGAAUAGCUAUGCAGGAGUCUGCUUGUCUCUGGCAGAUCUGACGAGCUCUGACUCCGGGCUGUCCCUGCCAAACCCAGUACUAGUUGUGUUCCCCAUCUUGGUGCUGUAACUUUGCAUCCUGGCCUCCAUCCCUGAUGGUCCAAAUCUAACCAUGACUGAUCAUGAGAAAUGGCAGUAUGGGCAAAGCUACUGAAGUGGGAAGAACUUUUCCAGGGUUUGUCUCCAGCAGUUUCAGACCUUUCCUGUUCAGAGCAGUCCAUGAGCCAGUAAGUGAGCUGCUGUCAUUCAAAGCAGCAAAGCUUGUCAGGCUGUUUUAUCAGUAUGGUGUAUUGAAGUCUUAAUUUAAUAUAGAACAGUACAUCCACAGGGAUGGAUUUUUCCUAGAAGGGUGGCUGAAAUAUACAUCCAACAUAGUAAUACCAGUUUGCUUGCUUUUCUGCUAGUACUGCUUUCAGUGAUUUGAGGGUGAGGAGCCUUAUAUAAUUAAACCUUACGCCUUACGUUCCCAAUACAUAAUUUAAUUUUUGCUUGGUAGGUGAGCCUGUUUCAUUGACUUGAAUUUUCUCCAUUCUCAGUUACUAUUGGUCUUCCUGUUUUAGUGUAAUAUCUUCCUGAUGUUCUGUUUUGGUUUUGCUUGUUUUGUUUUUCUUGCGUAUUCAAUACAUCAUUUUUAGUGAGAUUCAACCAAUGGUACUGCAUUCACAUUCAACUUUUUGGCAGCAUCUGAAACUGCAGUAUGACUGCUGAUCUAGGCAGCUCUUAGAGUUGUAUCUCAUUGAUUUUGUGUCCUGAAGUGAGACAAGAUUUGUGCCUGAAUCUUCUGAAGUUUGAAUUAUUCAUGUUUCUAUGCUUGUUUAGGUGGCAGCCCACUGGCUUCAUAGGUCACUGGCAAUAAAAAAAUGUAAACAGGAUCUCUGUAGGUACA